CAUGGCUGUUGCUCCACAUCCCCUGUUAGAAAAGAAACCAGAAGCACACUUGAAUAAUCGUAUAACUAUAUCAAAAUUAAAAGCAACAUAAUCCACAAGCUCGUCUCUUUCUUCACAGUGUGACUCUUGAAAGAUUGAUAUGGAUAAAAGUAAAAUAAACCAAUUCUCUAUUUGUGCUUAUAAUAAAGCUGUCUGCUUUAUAGGAUUUUGAGAAUGCUACAGAGUUAAAUUUCCCUAGAAGAAGUUUUUUCCAUAGAGCCCCCAAAAUUUAUGGACAAUUGUGAUGCUUAUCCAAGCUGCACUUCAGAUUACCUAGGGAUAACGGAUACUGGAGAGGAGCUGGAGAUAUAGGUAUUAGUCAUAUCGAAUGAGCUUAAUAUUAUUAAUGACAAAUGGAAAUGGAUGGCCCUCAAUUCUUCAAAAUAUUGUAAUCCCAGCAUGGGUUUUGAGUACACUAGGUGACUUAAAAUUAAUGAAUUAUGCAUAGAAAUGGAAAUAAAAUUUGGGUCAGCAAUAAUGAUGAAAAAGAAGAAUAGAUUCAUAGUUUAAUGAACCAUACCCCAUCCACCCCGGUCAG
rnacentral:misc_RNA from 1 species